rnacentral:rRNA from 1 species
UACAGAGGGGGCUAGCGUUGUUCGGAAUUACUGGGCGUAAAGCGCACGUAGGCGGCUUGGUAUGUCGGGUGUGAAAUCCCCGGGCUCAACCUGGGAACUGCAUCCGAAACUGCCUUGCUCGAGUAUGGGAGAGGGAAGUGGAAUUUCCGGUGUAGCGGUGAAAUGCGUAGAUAUCGGAAGGAACAUCAGUGGCGAAGGCGACUUCCUGGACCAAUACUGACGCUCAUGUGCGAAAGCGUGGGGAGCAAACAGG